rnacentral:misc_RNA from 1 species
CUGUGGUCCACGAAAAAUACGUGCUCCGGGUGUCAUCAUGAACCUCGUUAUAGAUGAUCAACACCGGUUUCGAGUCCCCCACAAAUUGAUCAUCAGGGCAGGCAUCAAUAAAAGGGUAGGACCUUGGAAUGCGUGUUAUUUUUUCCCGCGCGACCGCCUUGGGCUGAUCAUGCAGCUCGCGAAACGCGUAUCAUUUUCCCGCGCGUCCGCCGGCGGCGGGUUGUUUGUCACUUUACUCGGGUGUAAGAAAUUACAAACAUUUGGCCUUGUCGCCAUCUUUGCUGCAUUUUGUGUGUUGCGGCGGACGCGUGGUAUUGCCGGUUCUGGGCUGCAUGGAUUCGAAGAGGGCUGAGUUUUGUCGUGGCUGUGCUGUCCGCGGCCGUGCUCCACGGUUGCGACGUCUGCGGCCAAGCUGCCCGCUGCUGAGCUCCGCGGCCGAGCUGCCAGCGGCCGCGCUCUGCGGCCGUGCUCUGCGGUCGUGCUCUGCGGCCGUGCUUCCCAUGGCUGGGCCCUCCGUGGUCCCGUGAUCGUGGCCGCGGCGAGGGUGCCGCGACCUGCGCGGUGCCGUGCGCUGCAGUGAUGGCGCCGCGCACUGUGCAGUGAUUGUGCCGUGCGCUGCGUACGCGGUCGGUGCCUCGCGCCGCGCUGUUGAGCGUGCCGUAUUCGGACGGUGGCUGCCGCGCGCAGCGUGGUGAUUGCUGCGCUCUGCCAUGAGUGCCGCUCACUGCCGUGGCCUGAGUGCCGCGCUCGGACGGAGUGCCACGCGCCGUUGUGUUGCGUCGCCUUCUGCCUUUUGAUAUGUGCUAUCUCCGAAUUUAAUGUUGCUUGUUGCCGAUGUUCGCUUCUUUUCGUUAAGAGGGUCGGGUAUAGUCGGUCGAUUUAUUCGCACCGUUUGAUUUCGUACCGGCUUCUCUUCUGUUUCUUAUUGUUUUCUGCGAUGUCACUUGUCCGAUUUUAUAUCUGAUUAAUUCACGUCACUUAAGUAUUUAUUUUAUAUUGUCAUAAUAACUUACGGCGCUGUUCCUUUAUUUUCUGUUUAGUUGCAGCCCUAGUACCUUAAUUUCCGAUGUCUCUUCGGUUUGUUGUCGCUCGCAUGUUCAGAGAGUCCUGGUUGGCCGGCGCGAGCGGCGGUUGUGGAAUACAAGCUCGUCUGUGAA